UUUUAUGGUUAAAAAAAGUUGGUUUCUUGAGUGUGAUUUUUUGGUAAAUUUGAGGUAAAAAUCUUCAUCUGUGUGUGCAAGAACUGGUUUUUAACAUGCCUUCUUUCAUGAAAUUGGAAAGUUAGGAAAAGGGUAUGUGUAGUUAUGGGAAAGUUUCAAUCUUUAUAUCUCAUUUUAUUGGUGCAUUGGGAAACACCAAUUGCAGGGUGAGAACUUAGGAGUAACUAAGAGAUUUUAACAAGGUUAAUGGGGUAUCCUAAUCUGUAGUUAGGCUCAGUUUUUUGCAAGUUGAAUUUUAAAUCUAAGAACCAGAACAAUUGAAAGCUAAUAUGAAGAAGUGUAACUCACUGGACAAUGUAUGAAGAUUGCAACUGUCUUUUUGAUCCUGUAGAUGCUACCCGUGACUGUUUAAUUAGCACCUUCCAGAAAUGAAGUUAGCCUGUAGAAUCUGAAGCUCACCUAACAUUAUCUUGGCAGAUACUAAUCUCAGCUUCUAUUAGCAGCUGAAAAAUGGAUUUUAGUACAAUGGAUCGCGGGCAGUUGACCCUGCUAGGAUCAGCUGGUUGCGUGAUGCUCACAAUGCAUUUCACAGUCCAGUUAUUGUCACAGCAUCUCUUUUACUGGAAGAACCCAAAGGAACAGAAAGCUAUAAUAAUUAUCAUUCUUAUGGCUCCACUAUAUGCAAUUGACUCAUUUGUGGGUUUAUUGGAUAUUCAAGGAAGCAAAGCAUUUUUCAUGCUGUUAGACUCUAUUAAGGAGUGUUACGAGGCUCUGGUGAUUGCUAAGUUCUUGGCUCUAAUGUAUAGUUACCUGAACAUAUCUCUAAGCAAAGGUAUUGUGCCAGACGAAAUCAAAGGAAGAGAAAUCCACCACUCUUUUCCAAUGACUCUUUUUCAGCCUCACACAGUUCGGCUAAAUCACCAAACCCUGAAGCUACUCAAAUAUUGGACUUGGCAAUUCGUCGUCAUCCGCCCACGUUUUUUCUGUUUUGAUGAUAACACUACAAUUACUUGGAGUUUAUCCCAGUUGGUUGAGCUGGACCUUCACAAUCAUUCUUAAUGUUUCUGUUUCAUUGGCAUUAUACUCUCUGGUUGUGUUUUACCAUGUGUUUGCAAAGGAACUAGAACCACAUAAACCCCUUGCAAAGUUCAUGUGCAUCAAGGGCAUCGUCUUCUUCUGCUUUUGGCAGGGAGUGGUCCUUAAGAUAUUAGCUGCUAUCGGCAUCAUUCGAUCUCAUCAUUUCUGGUUGGAUGUGGAGCAUAUUAACGAAGCUAUUCAGAAUGUUUUGAUAUGUCUUGAGAUGGUUGUCUUCUCUGUUCUUCAGCAAUAUGCAUAUCAUGUUGCACCUUCCAGUGGAGACGUCGAAACAAAAAUGAGAGUAAACAAGAAGAACGAAUGAUUUGAAGAAUGACAUCAUUUUAUAUGUCUUCCUUAACCUAUGAAAUGAUAUUAAGGCCCUAGGUCUGAGACUGGAACUUCGAAACGAGUCGAUCCACAUUUAUGUAUUUUUUCUUCCUUCCUGCGAUUUUCCAUAAUAGUGGAAAGCAUUUCGUUCAGCAAAUCACGUACUAGGACCAAAUGAUGAAAACCUGCAUUUCGUAUAGGGUUUGAGUCACUUGCGAUACCUUUGUAGACUGCUGAUGAGAGAAAUGCAUCUGCAGCUAAUUUGUCAUAAUCUUCUGCAGUCUAAAAGAGAGAGUCCGGCGAUUAUCAAUGGCAACAUAUCUUGUAA